GUGAAGAACGUAGCGAAAUGCGAUAAGUAAUGUGAAUUGCAGAAUUCAGUGAUUCAUCGAAUCUUUGAACGCACAUUGCGCCCGCCAGUAUUCUGGCGGGCAUGCCUGUUCGAGCGUCAUUACAACCCUCAGGCCCCCGGGCCUGGCGUUGGGGAUCGGCGGAGCCCCCCGUGGGCACACGCCGUCCCCCAAAUACAGUGGCGGUCCCGCCGCAGCUUCCAUCGCGUAGUAGCUAACACCUCGCGACUGGAGAGCGGCGCGGCCACGCCGUAAAACACCCAACUCUUCUGAAGUUGACCUCGAAUCAGGUAGGAAUACCCGCUGAACUUAAGCAUAUCAAUAAGCGGAGGA
rnacentral:misc_RNA from 1 species